rnacentral:lncRNA from 1 species
GUGCCGCAAAACCACCACCAGGACCGCAGAACCAAAAAGGUGGACAAAUUUGCUUCAGGAUGUCAAUAAAGCUGCCCUUAAUGAUGGGCUUCAGGCUGACUGCAAUGGACUGUGUGCAGCACACCUGGAUAUCGUGUGAAUCUGUUACUGCUACAGCUGUGAAACUCUUCUGACAAAGGAUCCAAUGCUUCUUCUCUACUGGAAACUGUUUCUGGCAGCAUGUACGUGCCAGACCUCUUCUACCUCCUUGGAGUUGCCAAAAUGCUAUGGAUCAGAAGAAAUCCUGGAAUUGGGUGUGCAAUUGCCUUAUCACUGGAACGCCUGGAGACUUCUUAUUCAAAAGGAGAUAGAAAGGUCCAGACUACGAAGCACAUGCACACAUGCAACUACAGAAGGGCAGCGACAGAAAGCAGGGGGCUGUGGCACGGGAGACUGGAGGACAGGCUUUCGUGAUCUCUUUCUUGCUGGACGAACCUGUUUUCACCAGCAAGGAGGAGGUGAAGGGGAGGCCCCAAGAGAAGGAUUCACAGAAACUGAGGAUGUUUCUGAGAAGUGGUGCUCAGCAUAUCUAUCCAGAAAGGGAAUUGAUUGACUGUCCUUCUGCCUAUCCCACAGGGGCAAAGGUAUU